rnacentral:rRNA from 1 species
AACGUAGGAGACAAACGUUAUCCGGAGUUACUGGGCGUAAAGGGCGUGUAGGUGGUUUCGUAAGUCUGGCGUGAAAUAUCUCGGCUUAACCGAGGCAGGUCGUCGGAUACUGCGGGACUAGAGGACGGUAGAGGCGUGUGGAAUUCCGGGUGUAGUGGUGAAAUGCGUAGAGAUCCGGAGGAACACCAGUGGCGAAGGCGACACGCUGGGCCGUACCUGACACUCAGGGACGAAAGCUAGGGGAGCGAAUGGG